rnacentral:rRNA from 1 species
UUAAACGAUGCCACCAGCGAUCAGCCUGAGUUCUUUAAAUGACUCGGCUGGCAGCUUCCGGGAAACCAAAGUCUUUGGGUUCCGGGGGAAGUAUGGUUGCAAAGCUGAAACUUAAAGGAAUUGACGGAAGGGCACCACCAGGAGUGGAGCCUGCGGCUUAAUUUGACUCAACACGGGAAAACUCACCCGGCCCGGACACUGGGAGGAUUGACAGAUUGAGAGCUCUUUCUUGAUUCAGUGGGUGGUGGUGCAUGGCCGUUCUUAGUUGGUGGAGCGAUUUGUCUGGUUAAUUCCGAUAACGAACGAGACUCUAGCCUACUAAAUAGACUGCCAGCUCUUCGGCGCUGGCAGGACUUCUUAGAGGGACAGGCGGCGGUUCAGCCGCACGAAACAGAGCAAUAACAGGUCUGUGAUGCCCUUAGAUGUCCGGGGCCGCACGCGCGCUACACUGAAGUGAUCAGCGUGCAUAGGUGACCCGCUCUGAAAGGAGCGGGUAACCGGUGGAACCUUCUUCGUGAUAGGGAUUGGGCAUUGUAAUUAUUGCCCAUGAACGAGGAAUUCCCAGUAAGCGUGAGUCAUAAGCUCGCGUUGAUUACGUCCCUGCCCUUUGUACACACCGCCCGUCGCUACUACUGAUUGAAUGAAUUAGUGAGGUCUUCGGACUGGCCUGUGCUGGCUGUUUCGGCAGCUGCACAUGGCUCGGGAAGAUGCCCAAACUUGUUCAUUUAGAAGAAGUAAAAGUCGUAACAAGGUUUUCGUAGUGAACCUGCGGAAGGAUCA